AGCCUUCGGGUGAGUAAAGCGGCGAACGGGUGAGUAACACGUAACCAACCUGCCCCCGAGAUCGGGAUAACCGUUGGAAACGACGGCUAAUACCGAAUGGUCCCAAGAGCCGGCAUCGGCACUUGGGUAAACGGUUUCGACUGCUCGGGGAGGGGGUUGCGGCCUAUCAGCUUGUUGGUGGGGUAACGGCCUACCAAGGCGAUGACGGGUAGCGGGUCUGAGAGGAUGAUCCGUCACACUGGGACUGAGACACUGCCCAGACUCCUACGGGAGGCUGCAGUCGAGAAUCUUCCGCAAUGGGCGAAAGCCUGACGGAGCGACGCCGCGUGCAGGAUGAAGGCCUUCGGGUUGUAAACUGCUGUCACGCUAUAGGAAAAGCCUUCGGGCCGUGACCAAAGCGAGAGGAAGCACCGGCUAACUCCGUGCCAGCAGCCGCGGUAAGACGGAGGGUGCAAACGUUGCUCGGAAUCACUGGGCAUAAAGCGCACGUAGGCGGCUAUCUCAGUUGGAUGUGAAAGCCCCCGGCUCAACCGGGGAAUUGCGUCCAAUACUGGAUGGCUCGAGGACGGUAGGGGUGAGUGGAACUCCAGGUGGAGCGGUGAAAUGCGUAGAUAUCUGGAGGAACACCGGUGGCGAAAGCGGCUCACUGG
rnacentral:rRNA from 1 species